UACGGCGACUGCGAAUGGCUCAUUAUAUAAGUUAUCGUUUAUUUGAUAGCACCUUACUACUUGGAUAACCGUGGUAAUUCUAGAGCUAAUACAUGCUGAAAAUCCCGACUUCGGAAGGGAUGUAUUUAUUGGAUUAAAAACCAAUGCCCUCUGGGCUCCUUGGUGAUUCACGAUAACUUCUCGAAUCGCAUGGCCUUGCGCCGGCGAUGGUUCAUUCAAAUUUCUUCCCUAUCAACUUUCGAUGUUUGGGUAGUGGCCAAACAUGGUUGCAACGGGUAACGGAGGGUUAGGGCUCGACCCCGGAGAAGGAGCCUGAGAAACGGCUACUACAUCCAAGGAAGGCAGCAGGCGCGCAAAUUACCCAAUCCCGACACGGGGAGGUAGUGACAAUAAAUACUGAUACAGGGCUCUUUUGGGUCUUGUAAUUGGAAUGAGUACAAUUUAAAUCCCUUAACGAGGAACAAUUGGAGGGCAAGUCUGGUGCCAGCAGCCGCGGUAAUUCCAGCUCCAAUAGCGUAUAUUAAAGUUGUUGUGGUUAAAAAGCUCGUAGUUGAACCUUGGGCCUGGCUGGCCGGUCCGCCUCACCGCGUGCACUGGUCCGGCCGGGCCUUUCCCUCUGUGGAACCCCAUGCCCUUCACUGGGCGUGGCGGGGAAACAGGACCUUUACUUUGAAAAAAUUAGAGUGCUCCAGGCAGGCCUAUGCUCGAAUACAUUAGCAUGGAAUAAUGAAAUAGGACGUGCGGUUCUAUUUUGUUGGUUUCUAGGACCGCCGUAAUGAUUAAUAGGGACAGUCGGGGGCAUCAGUAUUCAAUUGUCAGAGGUGAAAUUCUUGGAUUUAUUGAAGACUAACUACUGCGAAAGCAUUUGCCAAGGAUGUUUUCAUUAAUCAGAACGAAAGUUAGGGGAUCGAAGACGAUCAGAUACCGUCGUAGUCUUAACCAUAAACUAUGCCGACUAGGGAUCGGACGAUGUUAUUUUUUGACUCGUUCGGCACCUUUACGAGAAAUCAAAGUGCUUGGGCUCAGGGGAGUAUGGUCGCAAGGCUGAAACUUAAAGAAAUGACGAUGGCCACCACCAGGGGUGG
rnacentral:rRNA from 1 species